rnacentral:rRNA from 1 species
GAUGAACGCUGGCGGCGUGCUUAACACAUGCCAGUCGAACGGUGAAGGCGGAGCUUGCUCUGCUGGAUCAGUGGCGAACGGGUGAGUAACACGUGAGCAAUCUGCCCCUGACUCUGGGAUAAGCGCUGGAAACGGCGUCUAAUACUGGAUACGAGCUGCGAAGGCAUCUUCAGCAGCUGGAAAGAAUUUCGGUCAGGGAUGAGCUCGCGGCCUAUCAGCUUGUUGGUGAGGUAAUGGCUCACCAAGGCGUCGACGGGUAGCCGGACUGAGAGGGUGACCGGCCACACUGGGACUGAGACACGGCCCAGACUCCUACGGGAGGCAGCAGUGGGGAAUAUUGAACAAUGGGCGAAAGCCUGAUGCAGCAACGCCGCGUGAGGGACGACGGCCUUCGGGUUGUAAACCUCUUUUAGCAGGGAAGAAGCGAAAGUGACGGUACCUGCAGAAAAAGCGCCGGCUAACUACGUG